rfam:Schistosoma haematobium scaffold1816_22, whole genome shotgun sequence.
AUCCAGCUGACGAGUCCCAAACAGGACGAAAAGUGAGUCCUGGAU